UCUGAGUGAAGGACCCUUCGGUCGUCGCACACGCCGUGCUGCCUCAGCGCCGUGCCACUUCCGAGCGCCCUCUUCCCCCUAACCCUUUUAAGAUCAGCUGGAGUAAAGUGCUGUCGUGACGUUUGUGUCACUGUGAUCUGAUGUACAACUUCAACAUGAGGUGGUUGAGCUUUUGCUGUUUGUUGCUAAAAGAGGCCAGCGUAUCAAGGAAACGUGCAAGUGGAUGAUUGUGUGUCGGUGGUGGCGCCGCCCCCGCGCACUCGUUGAGCAGCCUGCGCAGGGAUCAUUCUGGUCACGAUGCUGCUGCUGUGCGGGGUGUUCUCCGGGAAAUAAUGGUGGCGGCGUUUGCGUCAGAGACGCUGAUGCACGGGCAGGCGGGUGCUUCUCAAACCGAGCGGGAAGCAGAAGGACCACCGCCUGUCAGCGCCUCUCCAAACAAGAGAGGGCCAACCAUCUGCCAAAAGUGUUGAAGUGGAGAAGUCCGGGGAUGGGGCAGAGCACUCUCCCCCGUUGCAGCCCCCACCCAUAACUGCAGAACCUGCAUGCACUCGAGGGCCCGUUGUGCCCUCUUUAAGAUGCAGUGUUCCUCCAGGACGUCCUCUUGACAUGAACCCCAUCUCGAUGGGGCCCAAGCUAUAUCGCCUGCAGCCCGUCGGCACGUCCGCAGGGAACACCAUAUCCAGGAAGUGGUAUUGCAAAGUGUGCGCCAUGGCGUUCACAAGCCUGGAGCAGCUUCGGAAACACUCUGCCUACCUGCAUCCUGAGUACGUUUGCAGUCGCUGCUCCAGAUUCUUCAGAACCCCAUAUCUCAAACACAUACACGAGGCUUCAUGUAAUCGCAACUAUGUCAACUGCAGUCGCUGUGGCCAUCGUGCUAUAUCAAGGGGUCAACUGAAUAGCCAUGUGUGCGUCGGUGGAGCCGUGAACAACGUACGAUUUUCCCAGAGGGUUGAAACCCACAGGGAGCGAAGAGAUUACCCCCCGGCGUAGCGAAUAAGACAGCAUCGCAGCAACAAGGGGAAACUUCGUCUAGCAAAGAACUUUUAAUUAAAUGGAAGCACAACUUCAUUAAUUUUAUUGUUUUUUGAGGUUUUAAAAUGAUGUGCGAUUUAAGUUAUAUUUUCGCUCUUUUUACACUUACCUAUAUAAAGAUACGUUAUUUACUUGUUUAUCUUGACAUUAGUUUUGUGACUUCUUUUAAUCUAAAUAUCGUGCUUAAGUGAGACUUUUAGAAUAGAUAGUUUAAAAUUGUUCUUCUGGACAAAUAUGUGUAUAGUCCCUCAUCCUAAUAAAUAGUUCUCAAUUUUG